UACGAAGGGGGCUAGCGUUGCUCGGAAUUACUGGGCGUAAAGCGCACGUAGGCGGCUUUCUAAGUCGGGGGUGAAAUCCUGGAGCUCAACUCCAGAACUGCCUUCGAUACUGGAAAGCUCGAGUCCGGGAGAGGUGAGUGGAACUGCGAGUGUAGAGGUGAAAUUCGUAGAUAUUCGCAAGAACACCAGUGGCGAAGGCGGCUCACUGGCCCGGUACUGACGCUGAGGUGCGAAAGCGUGGGAGCAAA
rnacentral:rRNA from 1 species